AUGGCCGCAGAAGGGCGGCGCAACCCGUCUCUGCCCCUAAGCCUGCCAAACGCCAGGCCAAGCGGCGUUCCUGAGACGGGCGACCCGGAGUUGGAGACGUCAGCUUGUCAGGAGAUGGUAGCAGGACCACUCCUUCCCCCGGAGGAGGGCCGGGGGAGAAUCCUUUGUUCUCAUUUUCAUUUUGUUCCGCCACUGGCCCUGCGGCCGGUGGUACCCAAACCUUCACUAAAAGAGCUGUUUCAUCUACCUCCGGGUCCCAAGAGGCCACGAACGACAGUUGGCGACGUGCUUCCUCACUGCUCUCAUUCUCCUCUCCCCUUGCCAGUUUCCAUGCAAAGCAGUCUCGAGAACGCUUCGCCUUCUCAUGCCCUCUUUGCUACUUGGAGUCAGACGAGUGCCUGCACUCCGCCCCCGCUAAGGGAUGCUAUGCCUCCCAUGCUGGGGCUGUCUGCUCCACCACGCUGCCCCACCGUGGGUAUGCCUGUAGUCCCCUUGACCCCGCUGGUUCGGUUUCUGGGAGCCUGGCUAGAGCUCCCCAGGCCUUCCCGCUGGCUCAUCCGGACGCUCAGGCUCGGCUACGCGAUUCAGUUCGCCUGGCGUCCCCCCAGGUUUCGGGGUGUCCGCGCGACAAUGGUGGGCAAAGAUGCCCCUGUCAUGCACGCGGAGGUCACGACCCUGCUGGCAAAGGGCGCGAUAGAGCCGGUCCCUCCAGCCGACAUGAAGUCCGGCUUUUACAGCCCUUACUUCAUAGUACCCAAGAAGACAGGUGGGUUACGGCCAAUCCUGGACUUGCGUGCUUUGAACCGAGCUCUGCACAGACUCCCGUUCAAGAUGCUAACGCCCAAGCGCAUUUUCAAAUGCAUUCUUCCAAUGGAUUGGUUUGCAGCGAUCGACCUGAAGGACGCGUACUUUCAUGUCUCCAUUCUUCCUCGACACAGACCGUUUCUUCGGUUUGCUUUCGAGGGGCAGGCAUAUCAGUACAAGGUUCUCCCAUUCGGGUUGGCCCUGUCUCCCCGCGUCUUUACGAAGGUCGCGGAGGGAGCCCUGGCUCCUCUCAGGGAACAAGGUGUCCGUAUCCUCAACUACCUCGACGACUGGCUGAUCCUAGCUCACUUUUGA
ensembl:lncRNA